rnacentral:rRNA from 1 species
CCUACGGGAGGCAGCAGUGGGGAAUAUUGGGCAAUGGGCGCAAGCCUGACCCAGCAACGCCGCGUGAAGGAAGAAGGCUUUCGGGUUGUAAACUUCUUUUCUCAGGGACGAAGCAAGUGACGGUACCUGAGGAAUAAGCCACGGCUAACUACGUGCCAGCAGCCGCGGUAAUACGUAGGUGGCAAGCGUUAUCCGGAUUUACUGGGUGUAAAGGGAGUGUAGGGGGGACGGCAAGUCAGAUGUGAAAACCAUGGGCUCAACCUAUGGCCUGCAUUUGAAACUGUAGUUCUUGAGUACUGGAGAGGCAGACGGAAUUCCUAGUGUAGCGGUGAAAUGCGUAGAUAUUAGGAGGAACACCAGUGGCGAAGGCGGUCUGCUGGACAGCAACUGACGCUGAGGCGCGAAAGCGUGGGGAGCAAACAGGAUUAGAUACCCCGUUAGUC